AGUGAACGCUGGCGGUAGGCCUAACACAUGCAAGUCGAACGGCAGCACAGUAAGAGCUUGCUCUUACGGGUGGCGAGUGGCGGACGGGUGAGGAAUACAUCGGAGUCUACUUUUUCGUGGGGGAUAACGUAGGGAAACUGACGCUAAUACCGCAUACGACCUACGGGUGAAAGCAGGGGAUCUUCGGACCUUGCGCGAUUGAAUGAGCCGAUGUCGGAUUAGCUAGUUGGCGGGGUAAAGGCCAACCAAGGCGACGAUCCGUAGCUGGUCUGAGAGGAUGAUCAGCCACACUGGAACUGAGACACGGUCCAGACUCCUACGGGAGGCAGCAGUGGGGAAUAUUGGACAAAGGGCGCAAGCCUGAUCCAGCCAUACCGCGUGGGUGAAGAAGGCCUUCGGGUUGUAAAGCCCUUUUGUUGGGAAAGAAAAGCAGCAGGUUAAUACCCCGCUGUUCUGACGGUACCCAAAGAAUAAGCACCGGCUAACUUCGUG
rnacentral:rRNA from 1 species